UUAAUAUAAUUUAAUUUCUUAAAUAGUGGUUAUCAGACAGCAUGACAUUUCAUCAACUGGUUUUGAUAUGGGCCUCUGGCAGCCUUACCCCUCCAGCAAAGGAUUGCUCCCGCUGAGAGUGCUGCCGAAGCAAAGGUUAAAGUUUCACAAUUGGUUAACUCGUUACCCCAAGUCACGAAUGACAAAGGGAAGAGGAGUAGUCCACCGGCUCAGGCCGGGGCACUUUUAAUGAUCCUUCCGCAGGUUCACCUACGGAAA
rnacentral:misc_RNA from 1 species